rnacentral:rRNA from 1 species
UACAGAGGUCUCAAGCGUUGUUCGGAUUCAUUGGGCGUAAAGGGCGCGUAGGUGGCGCUCCAAGUCUGUGGUGAAAGCUCGACGCUCAACGUCGAGUCGGCCAUAGAGACUGGAGGGCUCGAGCACUGUAGGGGCAGAUGGAAUUCCGGGUGUAGCGGUGGAAUGCGUAGAGAUCCGGAAGAACACCGGUGGCGAAGGCGGCCUGCUGGGCAGUUUAGCUGACACUGAGGCGCGACAGCGUGGGGAGCAAACAGG